rnacentral:lncRNA from 1 species
GGGACCCCCACCGAUCUCAACUUACUUGGCUAAUUUGGAAGAUUGGAUCUUGAAUUGAGUUGCUUAGUAGUUUGGUUUAGCCUAUGUCAAUUAGAUUGGUCAUAUGAUGACUAAUUAGAUGAGACCUAAACCUAAACCUUCCCAUAAAUAUUAAGUCCAUAGGUCUUCCAUCAUUGUAGAUGUGUGGGCAUGCUACCGACGUUGAUUGUUCUCGGCUGGUCAC